GGAAAAAGAAUGUGAGACCCCAUGCUUGGAAGGAGAGCGGAGUUAGAAGUCAAAUUUCCACACAACUCCAUCCUAGCAACAAAGAGUGUAACAGCAGGUGCACUCCCAUGCUGUGCUGUGCAAACACAUUUCUCAGUUGACGAAACCAAAGCAGCAGGAAAGACAGUUACAUUUAGAUCAGGAGAAUAGAGAUGUUCAGCCAUUCCUGUUCUCACGCCGACACCUACACCCACACAGCAUGCCAUCAGCAGCUCAUGAAUGGGCGUUAAAGGUUCUCCCACCACCCACGUGUUCAGGCUUUUCACCAAGCACGGCGGGGAGACUGAAGACUAACAGGUGUUGUCCAUCUGUGGUCUACCAUCUGCCGGAGUAGAAGGUUGUCCUAGAAUCAAGCUUUUCCUAGUCCAGUGGAGGGAAUGCAGUAAGAUUUCUGAGAAAUCAUACACCUCACUGUCUUCAUGAUGAGUUCUGAUAUUUCUUUAUACUCUAACAAGGGGAGACUCACUUCCAUAACCCAGCAGACAAUGUGAAAUGCCUUGGUUAGCCAAAA